rnacentral:piRNA from 1 species
UUGACUGUGCACGUGUGCAUUCAGGGCUC